rnacentral:rRNA from 1 species
ACACUCCUGCGGGAGGCAGCAGUGGGGAAUAUUGCACAAUGGGCGCAAGCCUGAUGCAGCCAUGCCGCGUGUAUGAAGAAGGCCUUCGGGUUGUAAAGUACUUUCAGCGGGGAGGAAGGCGAUAAGGUUAAUAACCUUGUUGAUUGACGUUACCCGCAGAAGAAGCACCGGCUAACUCCGUGCCAGCAGCCGCGGUAAUACGGAGGGUGCAAGCGUUAAUCGGAAUUACUGGGCGUAAAGCGCACGCAGGCGGUCUGUCAAGUCGGAUGUGAAAUCCCCGGGCUCAACCUGGGAACUGCAUUCGAAACUGGCAGGCUAGAGUCUUGUAGAGGGGGGUAGAAUUCCAGGUGUAGCGGUGAAAUGCGUAGAGAUCUGGAGGAAUACCGGUGGCGAAGGCGGCCCCCUGGACAAAGACUGACGCUCAGGUGCGAAAGCGUGGGGAGCAAACAUGAUUAGAUACCCGUGUAGUCCC